AUUGAACGCUGGCGGCGUGCUUAGCACAUGCAAGUCGAGCGGUAGCAGGCGUAGCAAUACGUGCUGACGAGCGGCGAACGGGUGAGUAAUGCUUCGGAAUCUUCCUAGUAGUGGGGAAUAACCUGGGGAAACUCAGGCUAAUACCGCAUACGACCUACGGGUGAAAGCAGGGGAUCGCAAGACCUUGCGCUAUUAGAUGAGCCGAAGUCGGAUUAGCUAGUUGGUGAGGUAAAGGCUCACCAAGGCGACGAUCCGUAGCUGGUCUGAGAGGACGACCAGCCACACUGGGACUGAGACACGGCCCAGAGUCCUACGGUAGGCAGGAGUGGGGAAUAUUGGACAAGGGGGGCAACCCUGAUCCAGCGACGCCGCGUGUGUGAAGAAGGCCUGCGGGUUGUAAAGCACUUUUAGUGGGGACAAAAAGCCAAGGGUUAAUACCCUUUGGUCUUGAUUUAACCCAAAGAAAAAGCACCGGCUAACUCUGUGCCAGCCGCCGCGGUAA
rnacentral:rRNA from 1 species